ACGAACGCUGGCGGCGUGCUUAACACAUGCAAGUCGAACGGAAAGGCCCCAGCUUGCUGGGGUACUCGAGUGGCGAACGGGUGAGUAACACGUGGGUGAUCUGCCCUGCACUCUGGGAUAAGCCUGGGAAACUGGGUCUAAUACCGGAUAGGACCGUGCUUUAGUGUGUGCGGUGGAAAGUUUUUCGGUGCAGGAUGAGCCCGCGGCCUAUCAGCUUGUUGGUGGGGUAAUGGCCUACCAAGGCGGCGACGGGUAGCCGGCCUGGGAGGGUGUACGGCCACAUUGGGACUGAGACACGGCCCAGACUCCUCCGGAAGGCAGCAGUGGGGAAUAUUGCACAAUGGGCGCAAGCCUGAUGCAGCGACGCCGCGUGGGGGAUGACGGCCUUCGGGUUGUAAACCCCUUUCGGCAGGGACGAAGCUUUUGUGACGGUACCUGCAGAAGAAGCACCGGCUAACUACGUG
rnacentral:rRNA from 1 species